CCCACUUCGCCAUUUUCCUCCGGAAGUGCGGAUCCCAGCGGUGGUCGUGUAGCUGAGCAGGCCUGGGGCUUGGUUCUAUGUCCCUGUGGGUAGGUGCGAGGGCGAGGAGGAACCUGUGGGCCUCGGGGGAUCCCGGGGGGCCAGACCAGUGUUCCCCAUUUGUGGGGGCAGACGCGUGGGCGCAUCGCGGGCAGGAGGGGCCUGACGUGCAUUUGCGGGCCGUGGACCCUGGCGGGGGCUGGGAGGACAGACGUGGGGUCCCAGCAGUGAAGCGGGUUCCAGAGGCACAGGAGUGGGUAGGCGAGGCUGGUGGCCCUGGGCCCGGAGUCUGCAGGCCGCGCUCCUGUCCUGCCGCUGAGGGACCCGGUUACCAACCCUCAUGUAGCUCAGUUUGCCCAUCUGUCCCCGUGCUAACACACAGUUCUCGGGAGACGUUCCCCAUUCCCAGAGGAGUAGUGCGAAAUGCGUGUGCCUCUAGUCUUAAGCUGGGCGUUUGUAUUAGUUGGGUUUCCUGGUGUCUAUUUAGCAAGUGAAGUUUCUGGUUCCCUCCUUCACUGUGUGACCUGCCUAGUCCUCCUGGAUUGCAUUUAUGGAAGUUUAUAGAGACCUAGUUUCCAUGGAGGAACUCACUGAUUCCGCCAGGGAGAUGGGGUACUGGAUGAUGGUCUUCAGCCUUAAGGGUACUUCAGUCUUAACUGUGUGUUAUAAAGUUUGAAAGGGAGGGUUCCCUAUGAAUAAGAAGCGCACUUGAAAGAACAGCCCUGUGGUCUAACCUCUCACUGGUGCUUCAGAGGAGGAUAAAAGGUCGCAGCUAUGUUUCCAGUGUCCUCUGGGUGUUUCCAAGAGCAACAAGAAACGAAUAAAUCUCUGGUGAGUUGUUUAUUUGUUCUUCACUUUGUUUUACACUGUAUUUUCUGAGUUUAUGGGUGUCUGUGAAUUAAAAAGGAAAAGUGGAAAUAAGUAAAACUCAGGUUGAAGGAAAUAUACAUAAAUAAGAUAAAGCUGACCUGUAGAUAUAGACAGGUUAUAAAAGCUUAGAGUUGUCUAAGUUGAGUGCAAAGUUUCCUCUGAUCUUUCUGAUGCCGAAACAAAAAAGGCAGUCAUGUUUGUUACGUGAUUGGAAUGGAACCCGAAAAGAGAGCACGCUGUAUUCUUGUGGGACAGGAAAGCUUGUGUGCACCAAGUCUUAACCACCACCUUCAUUGGUGACAUAGAUUAUGUGCUGGAACAUAUUUCACACCGGUCUGGCAGUAAGCACUUGUAGUGUUGUGCAGUGGAAACAGUCAUCUUCCGCUAAGGCAUGACGUGUUGUGCAGUGGAAAUGGUCAUCUUCCGCUAAAGCAUGGCGUGUUGUGCAGUGGAAAUGGUCAUCUGACGCUAAAGCACAGCAUGUUGUACAGUGGAAAUGGUCAUCGUCUGCUAAAGCACGGCGUGUUGUGCAGUGGAAAUGGUCAUCUGCUGCUAAAGCACAGCUUCCAUCAUAAGGUAUGCUCCUUGCUCAAAGAGUGUGGUCCCAAACAGCUUUUGGGAGGUCCUCCUUGACUCAUGGAUGAAACCCGGAACAUCUUGAGGACUGAGUUAACCACAGGUCCUUAAAUAACUCUGAUGAAGAGAUACCAUUUGACAUUUUAGAGAUGGCUGCAUGCAAACUCUUAAAACAUUUGGGUGACUUUUUGAAAAAAUAGUAUCUCUUGUUGAAAGAAAUGCUCCAUCUGUGAUUUCAAGUCUCUCACUUGAGUGAAUUGGAUGGAAGUGGUGAAUUUCAGCCAAAGUGGCCAAAGAAAUCCUGUUCCUGUGAUAAUGACGCCAUCAGCCUCUGCACCUCUGUCUUCCCUUCUGCCACAUGUUGUCUGUUCUCCGUGACUUUGGCUGUCUCUUCAGUGCUGGUGGGAUAUAUCAGAAAGUGAUGGAAGAUGUGGCACUGUGCCCUCACCCAGAAGCUGGCCAUGUGGUUGGCUCCUCCACCAGAAUGGAUGCUCUGGGUGCUCUUUGAGCCAGCUUGGCUUUGCCUAGCAUGCACAGGCUCCGGGUACCGAAAUGUUGCUCUGAGUGAGCUUGUCCUGCCUUGGGCCAAAUUCUGUUAGGCCAGGGCCACAAAAGGCCGAGUCCCACGGGUGGUAAUCCUGGCUGCUUUCUGCACUUCCACAUAAAGACCUCCUGAAGAUGGCCUGUGGUCUACCUCUUUGCAACCAAGAAGCCCGCAGUGCCAUAUGAAUCCUCAGGCAUGGACUGGAGCCCCCGAGGAAGCACACACCCUGCUCCUGAGCCUGCUGCUCAUUUUCUCUGUGUGGCUCCAUUUGUGUCACAGUUGUUGCACAGACUUGUGCAUGCUGGGCAAGGCCAAGCUGGCUCAAAAAGCAACCAGCCACCUCUGCAAGGUUGUGCCAGGAGCCGGUGGACCGGCCACCAACCUCACUCACUGCUGGUCAGGUUACAUCAGUUAUUCUACCCUAGAGGUAGGGCCCCAGUGCCAUAUGCUUUUCCUCAGGCCUCUGCUCUAUCAGUCAUCAGGCGGCAACCACUCAGGCUGUGGGAACCUGGCCAUCCCUCCUUCCUUGAGUAGCUGAGGUUGCUGGCUUGUCCGCCUACUACAGGCACAGCCUUGCAGAUGUGGCUAGUUGCUCUGAGCCAGCUUGGCCUUUCCUGGCAUGCCUAGGCCCCAGGUACUGACACUCUGCUCCGAGUCAGCUUGUCCUGCCUUGGGUCAAAUUCUAAGUCUGGCCAGGGCCACAGAAGGCCCAGUCCCCUGGGUGCUAAUCUUGGCUGCUUUCUGCACUUGAACAUAAAGUCCUCCUCAAGAAAGCCUGUGGUCUGCCUGUUGGCGACCAAGAAACCUGCGACCCUCCAGGGUGCCCCGACUCACUUUCCCUGCAGAUGGAGGCAAGGAGGCUCCACAGACAACCUCCCUGCCUGAGGUCAGAUAGUGGCCAGCAGGCCAAGCUGGUGCAGAGAAAAUACAAGCUGAGCUUAGAACAUCUUCUGAAAGAAAGUAAAAAAGUGCCGACAGAGUAAUGGAGACAAAUCAAAGAGACAUAAAGUCAGCUUGGAAUGUCUACUACUGGCCUAAUCUUGGGGAAUUGGAGCAUCAGAAUCAUGAGCUUUCUUUCUCCCUUAUUUAUUGGUUUUAUUUCUCCAUGUAGAACAAAGAAGAGAAUAAGAAAAUAAUCAUCUGGUAACCAUCAUAGUAAUAAUUGUUCAAACACAAGUCAUCCAUGAAAUGCUGAGACAGGGUCUCACUAUAUUGCUCUGGCUGGUCUCAAACUCAUGGGCUCAAACGAUCCUCCUGCUUCAGCCUUCCAAAACCAGGUGUUUAACUGGGGACUAACAUGAAACACUUAGAAGACUACGUGGAACAUGGCAAUGACUAUGUAUGUACUACAAUGUAAACAGCACCUUCUGGAUUGAAUAGUACAUAACUGACAUGACCAGCAGAGACAGGCUAAAGACACUGAGCUGAAAACCCUGGACUCUAUUGCUAAAUCAAGGCUCCUGAAUCCGUUCCCUCUGAGAAACUGUUGCUGUGGUGCUGCCUUCACAAGCACUCUGCUGAGCACUCAUAUUGAGGGGCUGUGCUAUCCGUCAUCGGACAAGCUGCACCCAGAACUGUUCAGCUGACAAACUGGUAGCAGUCCAGAAACACAGUUCUGCUGCAUAGUGAAAAAAGGCCAAUUUAGAUUCUUUUUCAUAGAGAGAAAAACAUAAACAUGUGAUUGAACGGGCUGCAUAAGGGGAGUAAACACAAAGUACAUUUGACCACAAAAUGACUUUUUAAAAGUCAGAACUAUGGUAGCAUGAAGCCAAACGAGGUCCACGUAAAGGCUCUGACACUUUCUUGGGGACACACUGCUAAGAUUCUACUUCUGCAGGGUUCCACAGAAGUCUCCAAUCUUUAAAUCUUCAGUGUAUGAAAGCACAGAUUCCUGAAAGAAUGGCCUCAAAUGACCAGGAGUAGGAGCUCUCUAUAUCCCUGCUCCUGAAAAACAAGCUAACUGGAGUCUCCAUCACCUGCCACCAGCUAUACACACUACCAACUACCCAACUGAACUCCAUGACUGAUUUUCCAGCUAAUCAUGCCCCUGACCCAGCCCACAUGGACAUGGGAAGGACAUCAGUGAACUGUGAAAAGAGGCAGAGGUGAGGAGACACCUGCCCUGUGCCACACAUCUAUGUAGUUCAGCAAUUUCCAUCCCCUUAGUACUCCAGGGGCUCUAAGCCACCCCUUUGUAAGUCAGGAUGGAAGUAGAUGACACCACAUUUCUAUCUGCUGUAGACAUUCUUCCCAGUGUCUCAAAAUGUUUUGGCAUCUUUCAGUAAAAAUCUUCAAGUUUGUCGACUCACUUCCGUUUGUAUUAUUAAAACACACGCCAAUAGGACAUAGAAAGAAGCAAGAGUACUGGGCUUUACCAUGAGUUCAAAUCUCAUUUCUGCCAAUUCCUAUGUCUAAAAAAAAGCUUCGUAAUCUCUUUGAGCCUCACAUUCUCUAUCUAGAGAAUCACUUGACCAGAAUGUUCAACGCAGAGAAAAAUACUAGAAGGUAUUUUAAUUCAUUCCAAGAUUCCUUAAAAUUCUGUAAUUCUAUGUCCUCUUGAUUCUGUCUAUAGAAAAACUUGGAAUACAUAGGCAGCAGAGUUUGAAAAAAUAAUAGAACAAAAGAAACACCAAGAAAAACAGAGAAGAAAGUUUUAAAAAAUGAGGACAAGAUUAUAUAAAAGUCAUGGAAAAAGCAACAAGACUAAAAAAUGUAUUAUGGAAGUAAGCAGAAAUACUUGCCUAAAUGGAAAACCAAACUGUGAAGUCAAAUAAUUUGUCUCUAAGACUUGCCUAAACUUGCUUUGGUAAAACUUACAGUCCUAUGGCCAAAGCUAAGUCAGAUCUGCCCUAGAGCCUUUGAAGGUAAAAAUAAGAUACUGGUUACCACUGAAAUCGUCAAAUUUAUUAGGACUAACCACAUUCUAACAAUAAACUUAAAUGAGAGUUCAAGGUAUUUAAACUCUCAUUAAUUUAGAAGUUAAUCAAAUUAAUGAAUCUGAUUGAUCUGAUUCAGACCUAUACUUUGAUCCAAGGGCUGCACAGAUAUCUAUCAAUCUAUGCUGAGGAGCAAGAGAAAGGAUUUGGAAGGCAGGCAGGCUGAUGGUCAAACUGUAGGCCAGCUACUUUGUUAACUAUGGGAUCAUGAGGCAAUUAAUCAGCUCUAAUCCAUAGUUGUUUAUUUAACAGUAGGUUAUAGGAACACAGAUGUUAUGAUGGCUUUAUGAGAUGAUAAAUGCAUAGAACAUAUUAGGAUGUCUAGCCCAGAAUACAACACUCAACAGAUAUUAGUUUCUUCCAUCUAUAUUUUCUUAGUUAACAUAAUUUUUUAAAUCUAUGAAAUCUUACCUGACUGCAGAUUCAUCAGAAAUUCCAACAUCUAUUAAAGAAAAAGGUAAAAUGCAUUUUAAAUCAAUAAUAAAUGUACAGAAUAUUAAAAUCAUAAGAAUGCACAGUGAUGCAUGCCUCUAAUCCAAACUACUUGGGAGGAUGAGGCAGGAGGAUCACUUGAGGAGCCCAGAAGUUUGAGACCAGCUUGGGAAACAUAGUAAGACUCUACCUUCAUAAAAAAAUUGUGCACACUUGUGUGUAUGCUUUAGAUCCUGUUUUUUGUUGUUGUUGUUGUUUUGGUUUGGUUUGGUUUUUUAAAGCAUAAGACUGACGUUUUGUUACAAAGC
rnacentral:lncRNA from 1 species